UGAAAAAUUAUCUGACUUUCUAAGACGUUUAGAGCAUUCUUUAACCAAAGUGGUGCAGCGUGGUGGUUUACCUGCAGAUAGAGCGAAUCGAACGAGAGUCGAGCAGCUCAUCCGAGGGGCCGUUGCCUCAGAUAUGAUGUUGGUGCACCUGAAACUGAGAGAAAGGAGGGAAAAUCCCCCUACCUUCUUGGAACUGCUAAGAGAAAUUCGGACCGAGGAGGAAUACGAGGCCUCUAGGGUUAAACUGAGUACUGCAGUGACUAAAAUUCAUGCUAGAACUGAGAUUGAAAGUCAACAGAGUGAUGUACAAACAUUGAAAAAAGAAGUCAAAGAACUGAAAGCUUUGCUGUCAGCAAUGGCUACCACUCAUUGUACCCCGAUGGUCGACACCGGUGAACCUACUCCACAGACUGUUAUAUCAAGUGGGAGUUUAGAUUCUGAGAUGGCCAGCCUUAAGAAACAGGUACAAAGAUUGCAGCAAAAAGCCAAAACCAGAGUUUCGUGUACUACCAUACCUGCUUUACCUGUUGAAGAGCCAAGGUCAAUGCCCACAAUGGUAAAAUACCUCAAACCUUCCACAAAGGUAGAUGAGUUUUACUGUUAUCGAUGUGGGGAGAAUGGUCAUUUCUCUGCUAAAUGUAAAAAUCCUGAGAAUCAGAAUAAAGUGAUACAGAAGCUCAUUCAGUCCCUACGGAAAGCAAAAAAUAGGGACGUGUCCUCAUCUGAGGUCGGUGUGGGUACCACGGAUUGUUCAGCAAAGAGAAGUGCUGUAUAUGUGCCGAGGGAUAGGCAGCUUCCCCAAGGACUUAUAGGCCCAACCUCUGUAGUACCCUUGAGGGUAAAUGGACAGCCAUGUGAAGCCUUACUGGAUAGCGGCUCACAGGUUACCAUCAUUUUCGAAGACUGGUAUAGGCAGUAUCUGUCUGACCUCACAAUUCAUCCAGUUACUGGGUUAGCCAUUUGGGGUUUAAGCGAGUCAACUUACCCAUAUUUAGGCUAUGUGGUGGUUGAUUUGGAGUUUCCUGAAAAGGUCACUGGAUCUCAAGAGACCAUUUCGGUCUUGGCAUUAAUAUGCCCGGGACCCUCUAGCCCUGACCAGACCCCGGUCAUUUUGGGUACUAAUGCCAAUCUAUUCAAAAGGUUGGCUCAGCUUUGCAGAGACCGGGCAGGUGUGGAUCUUGCCCAGGUCUUGGGCAUUGCUGUGGAUGCAGAGGAGGCAGUUCCCAAACUUCCAUCUUUAAAGGCCACCCAGCUUACUUCGGACAGCAGUGAAGAUCAUGUAGGUAGCGUGAUAUGGGAAGGCCCAGGUCCAUUGACUUUGGCUGCUGAAGGAGACUGUUGUGCUAUUUGUA
ensembl:lncRNA